rnacentral:rRNA from 1 species
AGGGGUUUGAUCAUGGGCUCAGGAUGAACGCUGGCGGCGUGCCUAAUGCAUGCAAGUCGAGCGACGCAUACCGGAGGGGUAACCCACUGGUAUGACGGAGCGGCGAACGGGUGAGUAACACGUGAGCAACCUGCCCCACAGACCGGGACAGCCCAGGGAAACUUGGAUUAAUACCGGAUGACCUCGGAGGAUCGCAUGAUCCAUUGAGGAAAUGCCUUUGUGCUGUGGGAUGGGCUCGCGACUUAUCAGCUAGUUGGUGGGGUAACGGCCUACCAAGGCGUCGACGAGUAGCUGGUCUGAGAGGACGAUCAGCCACACUGGGACUGAGACACGGCCCAGACUCCUACGGGAGGCAGCAGCAGGGAAUCUUGCGCAAUGGACGAAAGUCUGACGCAGCAACGCCGCGUGGGGGAUGAAGGCCUUCGGGUUGUAAACCCCUUUCAGGAGGGAAGAAAUUGACGGUACCUCCAAAGGAAGCACCGGCCAACUACGUGCCAGCAGCCGCGGUAAUACGUAGGGUGCGAGCGUUAUCCGGAAUCAUUGGGCGUAAAGAGCUCGUAGGCGGUUCAGCAAGUCGGCUGUGAAAUUUCGAGGCUCAACCUCGAAACUGCAGUCGAAACUGCUGUGACUCGAGUCCGGUAGAGGAGAAUGGAAUUCCCGGUGUAGCGGUGAAAUGCGCAGAUAUCGGGAGGAACACCAGUAGCGAAGGCGGUUCUCUGGGCCGGCACUGACGCUGAGGAGCGAAAGCGUGGGUAGCAAACAGGAUUAGAU